ensembl:lncRNA
GGGCCAGAGUUUUGUUUAGGGGUUAUCGUACACGGACUUGCAGUUAUACUUUGUUAUACACACUAGACGUAGGGGUGCUGUUCCACCCUUGUAUUUUGUGAGCUUCUUCUUGGUUGUAUUCGUUUCUUUGAUUUGGACAGCACCCAACGGUCCUUUUCCUUUCGUAGUUUUGCCUCCUAUGUUUGUUAAAUUGAUUAUCACUGGCACUGGGCUAAAUAAACACUUUCAGUUAAACCAACCACAUCUGGUUGUAUGUUGCCACCCCUUCCCCUAGCAGGGGGACGUAACAGGGACGCUGGCAUUAUUGAGCCAUCAGAGAGUCCAUGGGUGUCACCAGUCGUAAUGGUUCCUAAGAAGGACGGAGGCUCAAGGUUUUGCGUCGACUACCGACCACUGAAUGACAGAACUGUGAAGGACUCCUACCCACUGCCGCGGAUAGACGAGUCCCUUGAUCACGUGGCUGGUUCAGCAUGGUUCUCCUCAUUGGACCUCCAGAGUGGGUAUUGGCAGGUGGCCAUGGCCCCAGAGGACAAAGCCAAGACCGCCUUCACCACGGGACGUGGCUUGUGGCAGUUCACCACCAUGCCAUUUGGGCUAUGCAACGCCCCAGCCACAUUUGAAAGGCUGAUGGAAAAGGUCCUGGUGGAUAUGCCCCCUGAACGCUGCCUUGUCUACCUGGAUGAUGUCCUUGUCCAUUGACCAUGUUUUGACUCGGCAUUGGGGAGCCUGAUGGAGGCACUGGAGCGGAUUAAGCGUGCAGGACUGAAGCUUCAUCCGGGAAAGUGCAGAUUCCUACGGCAAGAGGUCUCCUUCUUGGGCCACAGGAUCAGUGGGGCUGGCAUCAUGACGGAGCCUGAUAAGGUAGCAGCCGUCAGGGAUUGGCCUACCCCUACUGACAUCCACCAGCUGAGAUCGUUCUUAGGACUCGCAUCCUAUUACAGGCGCUUUGUGGCUGGGUUCUCUACUGUAGCUGCCCCCAUGUUCUCCUUAAUGCGCAAAGACACACCGUACGAAAGGGGGCCACAACAGAAUGCAGCCUUUCACGAGCUGAAGCAGGCCUUAUGUAAGGAUCCAGUGCUGGUUGC